rnacentral:rRNA from 1 species
CGUGUCGUGAGAUGGUUGGUUAAGUCCCGCAACGAGCGCAACCCCUAUUGUUAGUUGCCAUCAUUCAGUUGGGCACUCUAGCGAGACUGCCGGUAAUAACCGGAGGAAGUGGGGAUGACGUCAAAUCAUCAUGCCCCUUAUGACCUGGGCUACACACGUGCUACAAUGGUUGGUACAACGAGUUGCGAGUCGGUGACGGCGAGCUAAUCUCUUAAAGCCAAUCUCAGUUCGGAUUGUAGGCUGCAACUCGCCUACAUGAAGUCGGAAUCGCUAGUAAUCGCGGAUCAGCACGCCGCGGUGAAUACGUUCCCGGGCCUU